rnacentral:rRNA from 1 species
UAAUGCCGGGCACUUUAAGGAAACUGCCAGUGAUAAACUGGAGGAAGGUGGGGAUGAUGUCAAGUCAGCACGGCCCUUAUGGGGUGGGCUACACACGUGCUACAAUGGCGACUACAAUAGGUUGCAACGUCGCAAGGCUGAGCUAAUCCGUAAAAGUCGUCUCAGUUCGGAUUGUCCUCUGUAACUCGAGGGCAUGAAGUCGGAAUCGCUAGUAAUCGUGGAUCAGCAUGCCACGGUGAAUACGUUCUCGGGUCUUGUACACACUGCCCGUCACGCCAUGGGAAUUGGCUUAACUCGAAGCUGGUGCGCCAACCGUAAGGAGGCAGCCAUUUAAGGUUGGGUCGGUGACUGGGGUGAAGUCGUAACAAGGUAGCUGUAGGUGAACCUGCGGCUGGAUC